GCCCAAAGGCAACAGGACAGACGACCAGAAACUGAAAUUGUGAGCUGACUGAAACGAACAUUUCCUCCUUUCCAUAAAUGUUCCCAGAUCCACAGACUCGGAAGCUUUCAGAUGGGCCUGAUGAUUGGUGAUGAGGCCUGCAGUGGCACUUCGGCAACAUUUAUAAAUUAUAAGCAGAAGAAAUGAUUUCCAGACCUCCACUUCUGACCUGCAUGGG